ensembl:lncRNA
CCAGGAGCUCUGUAGUCAGGUACACCAGGAGCUCUGUAGUCAGGUACACCAGGAGCUCUGUAGAUCAGGUACACCAGGAGCUCUGUAGUCAGGUACACCAGGAGCUCUGUAGUCAGGUAGACCAGGAGCUCUGUAGUUCAGGUACACCAGGAGCUCUGUAGUCAGGUAGACCAGGAGCUCUGUAGUCAGGUAGACCAGGAGCUCUGUAGUUCAGGUACACCAGGAGCUCUGUAGUCAGGUACACCAGGAGCUCUGUAGUUGGAUAGGUCAGGUAGACCAGGAGCUCUGUAGUUCAGGUACACCAGGAGCUCUGUAGUCAGGUAGACCAGGAGCUCUGUAGUCAGGUAGACCAGGAGCUCUGUAGUCAGGUACACCAGGAGCUCUGUAGUUGGAUAG